rnacentral:rRNA from 1 species
CCGAAACGGUGACCGGACCCUUCCGGGACGGCUUGCACAGGUGCUGCAUGGCUGUCGUCAGCUCGUGUCGUGAGAUGUCGGUUAAGUCCGCUAACGAGCGCAACCCUCGCUGUGUGUUACAAGUGUCACACGGUACUGCCGGUCUUAAGCCGGAGGAAGGUGGGGAUGACGUCAAGUCAGCAUGGCCUUUAUGUCCCGGGCUACACACACGCUACAAUGGCCAACACAAUAGGUUGCUAAGCCGCGAGGUGGAGCCAAUCCUCAAAGUUGGUCUCAGUUCAGAUUGCAGGCUGCAACCCGCCUGCAUGAAGAUGGAGUUGCUAGUAACCGCAGGUCAGCUAUACUGCGGUGAAUACGUUCCCGGGGCUU